CGUUCUCGGGGCGGGGUGCAACUCCCCACCGGCGGUGAUGGAGUUUCUGGGCCCUGCCCGUGCUCCCAGCCCGCGAGCGCUCUGCGGUAGCAGAGGUCAGCAGAUCCGGUGUGAUUCCGGAGCCGACGGUGAUAGUCCGGAUAAGAGAGAGCG
rnacentral:ncRNA from 1 species